rnacentral:rRNA from 1 species
AGUGAACGCUGGCGGAAUGCUUUACACAUGCAAGUCGAACGGCAGCACGGACUUCGGUCUGGUGGCGAGUGGCGAACGGGUGAGUAAUGUAUCGGAACGUGCCCAGUCGUGGGGGAUAACGUAGUGAAAAUUACGCUAAUACCGCAUACGAUCUAUGGAUGAAAGCGGGGGAUCGCAAGACCUCGCGCGAUUGGAGCGGCCGAUAUCAGAUUAGGUAGUUGGUGGGGUAAAGGCCCACCAAGCCAACGAUCUGGAGCUGGUCUGAGAGGACGACCAGCCACACGGGAACUGAGACACGGUCCAGACUCCUACGGGAGGCAGCAGUGGGGAAUUUUGGACAAUGGGCGAAAGCCUGAUCCAGCCAUUCCGCGUGCAGGAUGAAGGCCCUCGGGUUGUAAACUGCUUUUGUACAGAACGAAAAGGUUUCUACUAAUACUAGGAGCUCAUGACGGUACUGUAAGAAUAAGCACCGGCUAACUACGUGCCAGCCGCCGCGGUAA